UGCCAGCAGCCGCGGUAAUACGGAGGAUUCGAGCGUUAUCCGGAUUUAUUGGGUUUAAAGGGUCCGUAGGCGGGCGAUUAAGUCAGUGGUGAAAUCCCAGAGCUCAACUCUGGAACUGCCAUUGAUACUGGUUGUCUUGAAUUUAGUUGAGGUGGGCGGAAUACGUUAUGUAGCGGUGAAAUGCAUAGAUAUAACGUAGAACACCGAUUGCGAAGGCAGCUCACUAAACUAAUAUUGACGCUGAUGGACGAAAGCGUGGGGAGCGAACAGGAUUAGAUA
rnacentral:rRNA from 1 species